rnacentral:rRNA from 1 species
AAAGUUGAAAAGAACUUUGAAGAGAGAGUUCAAGAGUACGUGAAACCGUUCAGGGGUAAACCUGAGAAACCCAAAAGAUCGAAUGGGGAGAUUCAUCGUCAGCUCAUUUUGUAUAUGUAUGAGUUAUGAUGCGGGUUACUACUUGUAGUAUUGCCUGCACAUUCUUGUGCAUUUAGUUGCAAAAUGUUGUCGGCGUGCACUUCUUCCCUAGUAGGACGUCGCGACCCGUUGAGUGUCGGUCUACGGCCCAAGUGGGAGCCUUCAGUGUUUAACAACAUUGGAGACCCUUGGUGUUUUCUGACCGGCUGCUCGGCGGUACUCGUACGGUAUUGAGCCGCAUAUUAUGCGUCCAUGCCCGUCACAAGCGCGGUCAAUUUCUAGUAGUGCGGACCUAGUGCCGUCGCUGGUAUUGAUCAGCUGUUGGUUGUACGGUGCUCUAGGACUGGCUAAAUUAUCGGUCAGCGAUGCUACUGCUUUGGGUACUUUCAGGACCCGUCUUGAAACACGGACCAAGGAGUCUAACAUGUGCGCGAGUCAUUGGGAUUUUUUAAAAAUUAAACCUAAAGGCGUAAUGAAAGUAAAGGUCGUUCUUGCGACGACCGAGGGAGGAUGAGCUGUGUCAUGAUACAGCUCCGCACUCCUGGGGCGUCUCAUUCUUAUUGCAAGAAGAGGCGCACCUAGAGCGUACACGUU